rnacentral:rRNA from 1 species
AGAGUUUGAUCCUGGCUCAGGACGAACGCUGGCGGCGUGCUUAACACAUGCAAGUCGAACGGAGACUAUAUGGAAAGCCUCGGCCGGAAGUAUAGUCUUAGUGGCGGACGGGUGAGUAACGCGUGAGCAACCUGCCUUUUACAGGGGGAUAACGCAUCGAAAGGUGCACUAAUACCGCAUAAGACCACACCGGGACAUCCCGGAGGGGUCAAAGGAGCAAUCCGGUAGAAGAUGGGCUCGCGUCUGAUUAGAUAGUUGGUGAGGUAACGGCCCACCAAGUCAACGAUCAGUAGCCGACCUGAGAGGGUGAUCGGCCACAUUGGAACUGAGACACGGUCCAAACUCCUACGGGAGGCAGCAGUGGAGAAUCUUGCACAAUGGGGGAAACCCUGAUGCAGCAACGCCGCGUGAAGGAUGAAGGCCCUUGGGUCGUAAACUUCUGUUCUAAGGGAAGAUAAUGACGGUACCUUAGGAGCAAGUCCCGGCUAACUACGUGCCAGCAGCCGCGGUAAUACGUAGGGGGCAAGCGUUAUCCGGAAUUAUUGGGCGUAAAGAGUACGUAGGUGGUUUCCUAAGCAUGGGGUUUAAGGCAACGGCUUAACCAUUGUUCGCCCCAUGAACUGGGUUACUUGAGUGCUAGAGGGGAAAGUGGAAUUCCUAGUGUAGCGGUGAAAUGCGUAGAUAUAUGAAGGAACACCAGUGGCGAAGGCGACUUACUAGCCAAUUACUGACGCUCAGUCACGAAAGCGUGGGGAGCAAAUAGGAUUAGAUACCCUAGUAGUCCACGCUGUAAACGUUGAGUACUAAGUGUUGGGGA